UCGCUAUAACUGGACAUCGGUCGGUAAAGAGUUCUAGCGUAUGGGCCUCGGGCAACAGGCCAUGACUGAAGCCAACGGCCCACGAUUCCACUCGCUCUCCAGCCGCCGCCGACUGCGACCCGCAAGGGCCAUGGCCCUGUGGCACUGGCGGCCGAAGGAGCCCCACACCGCCGACCGCCGCCGUGGCCCUACGGCGCCCCCACCGAAGAGGGCCCGCGCCGCCGGCCACCGUUGAGGCCGAGGCCCCCGCCGAAGAGGCCCCGCGCCGCCACCCUUGCCGAGUCCCCAUGCUGCUGGCCGGCGGAGAGCCCCCAAGCUGCCAGCCGUUAAAGGUAGAUGUAAGCCUCGUGCCCUCCCUUGAACCCUCCCCUUCCUUGCAAUGUGGAUCUGACAAAUUGUGUGUUGGUGAAGCUACCUCCUCCUUGACGAACUCGUAGACACCUUUGAUUUGUGUUACAAACUUAAGGCUAUUCAUCAGUUAUAUCACUACUAAUGCUGCACGGCAUCAUCAUGUUGCGGGAAAAUCAAAGGAUCUUUAGAAAUUUAGUUUAAGAUGAGCACAGAGCCUUGAUGAGAUCCCAGACAAGACCCUCAGAAGCAAAGAUGGUUGAAGAGUUUGCCAGGAAUUUUUUAGUUUACUGCAAGAGUGCUUCAAAAGAUAUAGUUGUGAUUGCAGAACCUUAAUUGUUGCAUUGGUUUAGUUGCCAUGGUAUUGUUAUGUUACUUGUUUCUCUUGAUUUCAAGUAGCAGAUUCAAUAGGUGGUGUAUUUGGAAGUGUUAUGGGCUUCCUAACAGGCGUGUUUACUCUUGUUUACUUCUAGCGCGCGCGUAUGGAUAAAUUUUAUCUACACUUGCUUGUAGCUACUCUUACUUACUAUUAGUAUACCACCACGCGUAUAUCCACAUACUCA